rnacentral:snRNA from 1 species
ACACUGCCUGGCAGGGGAGACACCAUGAUCAGGCAGGUGGUUUUCCCAGGGUGAGGCUCAUCCCUUGCACUCCAGGUGUGCUGACCUCUGUGAUUUCCCCAAAUGCGGGAAACUCAGCUGCAUAAUUUGUGGUAGUGGGGGACUGCCUUCGUGCUUCUUUUU